GAUGAACGCUGGCGGCGUGCCUAAUACAUGCAAGUCGAGCGAACGGACGAGAAGCUUGCUUCUCUGAUGUUAACGGCGGACGGGUGAGUAACACGUGGAUAACCUACCUAUAAGACUGGGAUAACUUCGGGAAACCGGAGCUAAUACCGGAUAAUAUUUUGAACCGCAUGGUUCAAAAGUAAAAGACGGUCUUGCUGUCACUUAUAGAUGGAUCCGCGCUGCAUUAGCUAGUUGGUAAGGUAACGGCUUACCAAGGCAACGAUGCAUAGCCGACCUGAGAGGGUGAUCGGCCACACUGGAACUGAGACACGGUCCAGACUCCUACGGGAGGCAGCAGCAGGGAAUCUUCCGCAAUGGGCGAAAGCCUGACGGAGCAACGCCGCGUGAGUGAUGAAGGUCUUCGGAUCGUAAAACUCUGUUAUUAGGGAAGAACAUAUGUGUAAGUAACUGUGCACAUCUUGACGGUACCUAAUCAGAAAGCCACGGCUAACUACGUG
rnacentral:rRNA from 1 species